CUCCCCUUGCACCCUACUCCCCCGCCUGGAGCCCCUUCCCAAACUUUGCACUUCUCAUUUCUGGCCCCACCCCGGAGCCCACAACCAGAGCCCUCACCCCCUGCCACACCCCAACCCCAAUUUUGUGAGCAUUCAUGGCUCGCUAUACAAUUUCUAUUCCCAGAUGUGGCCCUCGGGCCAGAAAGUUUGCUCGCCCCUGGGCUAGAGCCUGUUCCCAGGGCUGCCACCAUUCCCGUGACUCCCUCCUUGGGCUGCUCUGCUCCCCACCGUGCAGCCACUGAGCACAGGUACCAUGGGAUGCCUCUGGUCUCAGCCUUGCCCCCUGUGCCUCCCUACUGCCCCUUACCCUGCGCUUUGGGGCAAGGACCAUCUCUCUCUGUUCUGGCCAGUGGCCAGCACACUUUGGGGUGAUGAAGAAUGAAGGGUAGAGUGGAGACUGCCUGGAGCAGGGACUUGGCCCCUCUGUGCAGCUUUACACAACCUCCACCCUCACUCACUAAUAAUCCCACUUCCAUCUGCAGGGAGAUGGAGCCCAGAAUUCCCCUCUCCUGCCCGCAGGGUGGCAGAGAACUCCAGGCACAGCACUGAAAUGGAUACACCCCUCCCUCGACACCAGCUUUUUCUGCAUGUUGAAGAACACAGGGAGAAGGGGCACAUGAGCUGUACAAAGCAUGUUCGAUGUGAGAGCAGCUCUCAAGCAGGCUUUAUCAGAUAGGUCUUGGCACCAAAUGUCACUUUAGGGCCGCGCUCCCUCUAUCUCCUUGCGCUGUAGGGGCCAGUCUCCGCUCCUGUGACAGCCUCUAGCAGGAGGAACUGCACUGAUGAUAUGCUGAGCAGGUCUAGUGCCAGUCGGAGGAUCUGGGGGCACAGUGCUACGGUGCCAUUAUCCCAGCUUAAGUUUUUGUAAGUGUUUGUUCCCCCAACUUGUUUCUGGAGCAGGAUGCAAGAUCUUGUGAACAACAGUGCCGAGGGACCAGCAGCUACAGGGCCCGCGGGGAAGGGGACGACGGAGCCUCCCCAUGAAAUGGACGAAGCAGCAGCUCUAACCUGAGGUAGCUCGGCCGGAGUCACUCCCUCCCUCUGGGGCCCGACAGCCUCGUUUGAAACGGGGAGAUCGCUCCGGACCCCCAGUGCCCCGGCUGCGACACAGGCUCUGCACAAAGACCUGCUGCUAAAAGUUACACUUAGAAUAGUGUCCCUCUACAUCAGCUGUGGGAAGAGCCGCUCAGCUGGAGAUGGUGCAUGGCCUGCUGGGAACUGUAGUCCUCACGCCUGCCACCCUGGUGCGCAAUAGGGAAGGAGGAGCUGUGCUCUGCAGGAUUUUCCCCUUGGCCCCGGGCCUGGCAUGCAACUAAGCCCAUGCUUCCUCCUGCUGGGGGGAAGUGUGUGCAGGAGGUCUUUCCACUCCAUCCUUAGGGGUCCUCGUUUAACUCCCCACCACCCUGGGUCUCAGGCCAUAUUUGUCCCCCCACGAUCUCAGGCACCUCAGGCCAGACUCUUGCAAGCCCAACUCCUGGUCUAGAGAGAGUGCCAAGGCCGCCCCAUUUCUCUGGCCACCUCCCCUCCCACGCCUGAUUCCCUCACAUCUGGGGCCAGGACAGGCUCCAUAACAUUCUCUGCAGGGUUCUUCCAGGCUGGGGAGAUAUUGCUCCAAGCAACCCUAAAUCCCAUUCCUGUGACUGCCCCAAACAUCAAGCCCUGUGCUUGGCCCUCCCCCCAUUUGCAUUCUUUUCUCCCCAAGUUUGCUAGGUCACAGGGCUAGAGCCAUUGCCCCCUGCCUGUUUCCUGCCAUCCAAUCCCACAGUGCAGUGAAAACGCUGAGCAGCCACUUCCCGUCACCGGCCCUGAGCCCCAAGCAAGGCCGUCACAGCAAGGUGCAGCAAGGCAAGCCGCGGCUCCGUCAAAGCCAGGGGAGCUCAGGUGACUCACAGCUGAGGGACCUGCCAGAAUUCCCCCGGGGAGGGCUCGGCCUCUGGGUCUGGAGGGCUCAGCCGGUUGCGGUGACUCAGGCAGAGCUCACUCAACUCUCCACAGGCACAGGCAGGAGAGAGGAGCUCAGGGUGAGCCCAGGCAGGGACUGACAGAGGGGAAGGACCAUCUCCCAUGGCGGGAGAUGGGGUAUUUACAGCCACGUGGGGCCUUGGGAGGCCAGCACUGUCUCUGCUGUCAGCCAGGGAGUAUGGGGUUAGCCCAGCCCCUAGGAUCCCCCUCCUGUAACCCCUCAUACCAGACAUGCUGCCAGGGAGUGACCACAUGCACCCUCUGGCUUCCCCUUCUCACUUGCAAGGCCCCACUUGGCCUCGCUCAGCCCACGCCCAGUGCCUGGGGGCCAGGCUGAGCCCAGGAGCUGUCUGCUGCAGCUGCAGCUUUUGGCUUUCCUGCAUCCUCAGAAACAGCCACACCUACCACCAGCUCCAGCUGGGCAGGGGGAUCUAUGCACCAGCAUUACCCCAGAACCCCGCCCCUCCCCCUGCCCCAACGCAGCCUGCUUAGUGAGGGCCCCGGGCUCCAGACCACCGGAGAAACGCUGGGUGCCCCUGCUCUGGGAGGUAGGGGAGAGGAAAGAGCCCCCUCCCCC